ACUCCUACGGGAGGCAGCAGUGGGGAAUAUUGGACAAUGGGCGCAAGCCUGAUCCAGCCAUGCCGCGUGAGUGAUGAAGGCCCUAGGGUUGUAAAGCUCUUUCACCGGAGAAGAUAAUGACGGUAUCCGGAGAAGAAGCCCCGGCUAACUUCGUGCCAGCAGCCGCGGUAAUACGAAGGGGGCUAGCGUUGUUCGGAAUUACUGGGCGUAAAGCGCACGUAGGCGGAUCGAUCAGUCAGGGGUGAAAUCCCAGGGCUCAACCCUGGAACUGCCUUUGAUACUGUCGAUCUGGAGUAUGGAAGAGGUGAGUGGAAUUCCGAGUGUAGAGGUGAAAUUCGUAGAUAUUCGGAGGAACACCAGUGGCGAAGGCGGCUCACUGGUCCAUUACUGACGCUGAGGUGCGAAAGCGUGGGGAGCAAACAGGAUUAGAUACCCCAGUAGUCCCAUGA
rnacentral:rRNA from 1 species